GUUAGCAUUUAGAGAGGAAAUAAGGGUAAGUGUUCUAUAAGCUCACCCUUGGAAAUCGCUCUCUGUAAACAUGGUUCAUCAUGACUAUCUCAUUGUCAAAGGAGACGUUUGAUCGUCCGGGGCUGCAAGACAAAAACAGCAAAUUAUUACAUUUUGAACUACUGGCAAAUUGCAUUUACGACAGUCUACGUAAAGCAGCUUUGAACUGUACCACUAUGACAGGGGUAGAAUGAUGUCAAGAAGAACAAAGCCAACUUACUACAAAAGACGUGUUUGCUCUGUGUUUAUCAUAGUAACCUCUAACUCGGGCAAAAAAAUAUUGAGGAUGGGUCAAGAUUAACGGUGAUUUUUAUCCCCAAAAAAUAUUUAUCUAUUGAGGCAGCAACAUAAUUAGUUUGGUGCUUGAGACAAAGAUAGUCCCUUUUUUGGAAGCCAAUGGCCAAAACCCUCUGAUUCAGAGCCCAGAAAAUUGGGAGAUGCAGAUAUUGGUGCACCUCAUGUAGUUCUGGCAAUACCAGAAGGAAGGGGAGGGACUAUCAUGACCAAAAACAUACCAAGACUCUACAAAGGACGCCAUAUUGUGACAUGCUUGUGUAAUCUCUACUUAUAUUAUUUCAGUCAUAAAGGAAGCUGAUGUACUUAACUACAUAGUAUCAAUUUAAUAUUCUGAACCAGGUCUAUUCAAAUAAAUAAUGAAGGGGGCUACCGUUUCAAGAGCCCAAGGACUCAGGGGCUGGACAUCAAAAUGUGGCUGUUUCAUCAGAAAAUGCGUCCGCAGGUUAUAUUCCUUUGACUGUGUUUACUUAAUUACAAAGUAAAUAUAUAGAAUUUCACACAGCACUGUCAAUAAAUUCAAUAUUUUGGCCUCACUACUCGUUUCCAGCGUUUACAGCUGGACCCAUAGUUAACAGCAUGAAGAAACAGAAGCUCCAGAAGUGUUGUUGAGGAUUGAUGUUCUUUUUUUGAAUUUUUUUCCCUCCUCAGUUCUAUUUCUUUACACUUCUUCCUUCAUUUAGGUUUGUAAGACUGAAAAUAUAAACAUAAAAUAAACAUUACACAAGUAAUGUCCAUUGUGUAUUUUACAUAAAUAAAAGUUAAAUAAAAGUUAAGUUAAAGGUUAAGUAAAAAGUUUAGUGUUUAUACAUUCACACAAUAAACUACAGAUGUUAAUGAAUAUAAAAAUUAAGCAACAUCCACAGCAAGCAUUGCAGACAAUGUAAACUAUUUGUAGUUUUAAAUUUCGGUUAUAUCAAGGAGGGAUGUAACGAUAAGAACAUUUGUUGUGACCAAAAUUAUCAUGGUUAUUAUUAUAGCGAUAUUGUUAAAUCAAAAAGUAUUUAAAAAGAAGUUAUAUACACCCUGAAAUCUUUUGACCAUGUAUUUGUUUUUAAAAGAACAAUAACCCCUUACUUUAACAAUAAAAAGACACAGUUAGAAAAAACACCAUUUUGAAUAUUUUGUGUUUCUUAUGCUUCACCGAUAGUGUUUUAAUAUGUUAUCUAUUUUGAUGGCUAAGUUAAGCAUUUAUUGUUUUUAUUUCAUUAGUUUGCACUGCAGCACGAUAACAUUCAUUUAAAUGAGAAGUGCAUAACAUAAAAUCCGUUAUUUAUGGCAGGUAUUGUGGCAUCCUACUCUGUUCAGCGGUCCAUGAACGAAACUUAAGAACACCUUGACUCGUAUUCCUCCGAGUAUAAAACCAUCCCCCUGUUCUAAGAGACCACAGCUUGUCGGUUCAAUGUGCACAAUUGAAUAUCUUAGUAGCUCAGACAACAAAGUGUUUACCUAAGUUUAGAUUAGGGUAUGUUGUUUCCUAAAAGCAGAAAGUCAUUGUCUUUUGUUUUCGUGUUAGCAUAUAAAAAGGAACUGCACAUAUUUUGGAAUUUUGCCCGUCGUUCACAAUCAUUAUGAAUGAUAAGACGGAUGUAUUUUUUUUUAAUGCAUAUUAACACGUAAAUAAACGGAAAUAAAGGAUAGCUUACAGCGGAGCCAAUUGUAAGUCUUGGAAUCUGUCCAUAAAACCCAAUAAAUAAUCAUCCAAAAAACAACAAGAAUAUUCCAUUUACAUUUUGUGACUUGAAUAUUAACCAAGUAUUAGUGAUAUUGUUAUUAUAAGUUGUGAUCACAGGCUCGUGUGCCUAUGGUGACACGAUCAACUGAUCAACUGCUUCCCUCUCCCCUGGAAUUUAGACAGACGAGGGCGUAUUCCGACAAGUUGGUACACUUUGACAGCCAAUUUAGACCUGGAAAUGACGAGAACGAAACAAAAAGAUGCUUAGUUCCACCCCUGUUUUCUUCGUGAGGACUAUGAGUCAUUCUUCAUCUAAAUUGGCCAAUAACAAGAUUCUAGCAGACAGCAUUCUAACGACAGCAGACCUUGUACAGUAUGUGAUGUUUUAUAAUGUUUGUUGGCUCUCAUAAAGUCUGCAAUGAGCAGUAAUCAGUGAUGUUAAAAGAAAAGCAAAUGUUGUGACUAGGACUGCAAUAACUAAUCAACUAUAUUCGAUUAUAAAAAUAUUUGCCGAUUAAUUUAGUCAUCGAUUCGUUGGAUGUAUGCAAUGCGCAUUCACUGAGGCUCUUUUUUUAUCCCCUAAACCUUUAUUUAUAAACUGCAACAUUUACAAACAGCUGAGAAACAAUAAUGAAAAUAAGUACAAAAACAGUACAAAACAGCGCCAGGGCGGCGCUGAGGCUACGUCUCAUGAGGUGGCAGUAAGCCAGCCAAUGAUGUGUCAUGUGCAGCUCACGUGACCACGCUGUUUCCUUUGCCUAGAAACAUUGGAAAAAUGGCGGAAAACAGUACCGAUAGUUCGGCGCAGAAACAUCUGGAGGUUAAUGCUGCAUUGGAGAAAAGUGUACGACCUAAGUUGUCAAAAGUGUGAGAAUACUUCACUUUAAACACUGUAAAGAAGACAGUUUCCUGCAAAAUGUGCAGCAUGGACGUCGCGUGGCACGGAAGUACUACAUUCCUUCGGGAGCAUGGAUUAAGAAAAGAACUCACGAAAGAAAAAAACCAGUAUUAGAAACUUGGUACAAAGGAAGGUGCGCACACCACGGCAAGCAGUUGCAUUGACUGAUGCUAUCCUGAAUAUGUUGGUUACUGACAUGAGGCCACUAUCAAUGGUGGAGGAUGAAGGUUUUAGACAAAUGAUUCACGUCCUCAACCCUGGUUACAUACACUCUUUCCUCGAGGACCCAUUUUACCAAACCGAUGGAGAGGAAGUAUGAGCAGACAUUCAAUGCAGUGUAGACUGACAUAAAAGCCACCGAGAGCAAAAUUGCUCUCACUCCUGAUGUGUGGACAAGUGUAGCCACGGAAGGCUACCUUGGAAAUUCAUGCCACUACAUGAAUUUGGAGACGAGUGGAACAUGAAGUUAAUCUGCCUUACGACCACGCCACUAGAGGAAAGACAUUCAGCAUCCAACAUUGCAGAAUGGUUAGAAUAGGUAAUAGCCAGGUUUAAAAUUCCCCUAAGCAAAAUUAUUGCUAUUGUGGAUGACAAUGGUGCACUUUAUAAAUAAAAAAAACAUAUUUGUAACA